rnacentral:lncRNA from 10 species
AAUAUACUCCCGCGUCGGAGGAGGCGUGGGCGUCCCCGCCCAGGCCCGGGAGACAGAGGCGCUGACCCCGGGACAGAGCCUGGCUUUGUGCGGGAGGCAGACGCGCCCCGCGCGCCGCCCCCGAAACAUUCGCACCCCAUGCUGAGGCGCGCGUCUGGGAGUCCGUGGGCGCCCCGAGAAAUGAAGUUGAAAAUAGCACAGGAGCCCACUAUCACUGUGUGAACAUUUUGUGAAUGAAGACAUGUAUGAAAGGAUGUUUGGAGGCUUCAAGAAACGAAAGCCGAGAGUCUAGCUAGACCAGAGCCAUCCAGCCCAGGAGCGAUGGCCACGUGUGGCCGCUGGACACGAGAGACGUGGCCAGUCCAAACUGUGCAGUGCGGUUGAAAAAAACAUUUUGGAUAUAUGGUGUUAAAUAAACAUGAUUACAAUGACUUUCGCUGUCAGCCUCCCGGAGGCUCAUUUUGCUCCUCUGGGCCACAGCCAGCUCAGAGGGUUGCUCUAGGAAAUAUCUACACGUUCUUGAAGCACAGGUUUAUGUGCCAGGCACUGUACUAAGUGCUGGGGACACGGCGUUAAGACCAGGCCCUCACGGAGCCCUCACUCUCUGAGGAGGAACAAUAAGUCAGAGAGCGCGCGAGUGCAGCCCUUCAGGCAAAGGAUUUCAGGCCCAGGUCAGGAAGGCCUUGUCUGAGGAGUCUGAGAAGAAGUCAAUUGACAACAGCUAGAACAUCUAGGUCAGGCACUCCAGGCCGACACGACAAAGCAGGUGCAAAGGCCCCAGGGCGGGAACCAGCGUGGCUUGUUCACAGAACAAGGAGGUAGAUCGCUUGCCCUUGGGACCAAAGGAAGGCUCUGGAUUUUAUUCUAGGGGCAGUGGAAGCCGUUGGAGGGCCUCAGGCAGGAACACAAGGUGUCGUGGCAGAAAGGAAGAAGGGGCCGGGCACGGUGGCCCACACCCGUCAUCCCAGCACUUUGGGAGGGAGGCCAAGGCAGGAGGAUCGCUUCAAUCCAGGAGUUCAAGAUCAGCCUGGGCAACACAGCAAGACCCCGUCUCUACUAAAACCCUAAAACUUAGCCAGGCUUGGUGGCAUGUGCCUAAGGUCCCAGGUCCUCGGGAGACUAAGGCAGGAGGAUUGCUUAAGCCCAAGAGUUUGAGGCUGCAGUGAACUAUUAUCACACCACUGCACUCAGCCUGGGUGACAGAGUGACUCUGUCUCAAAACUAAAUAAAUAAACAAUAA